rnacentral:rRNA from 1 species
UCCGUUAGGGUGAACCUGCGGAAGGAUCAUUAU